GCUGGGGCAGGGGCAGCCAGCCUGCCAAAAACAAACCCCCGUGGGGGGAGCAAAGGUGGGGCUGCAGAACACCAGCUGCUUUGGGCUGCAGGCCAGGAAAGGCUUGGGCUGCCUUGGCUUAGGAGCCUUUCUUUGGGCCAAUGCAGCAGGCCAGGGAGAAGGCCUGGGUUUUCCUUAGCUGGAGGAGGUGGGGUUUUUCUUUGGCCUGGAGGGGUUGGGCCUUCCUCAGAACCCUGACAGAAUGUUAACAUUUUACCUUUUUGUCUUGUUUCCACUUUUUGUUUGUAAUCUCUUGUCAUGAAUUUGUUGUUUGUUUUCGAGGGAAGAGUUGGAGCUGGUGCCCAGUCUGGAUUGGGAAGGGCUGGGAUCAUCCCUGGAGAGGAUCUGACGUCCCCUCUGAGAAGGCUGAGGACAUCCUUUGGGACACGCUCUUCUUCCAGCAGCAGAUCUUGUGAGACAGGACACCUCUGCCUGAUCUCCCACAGGUCUGAGGGAUCUCUGGAUCUUCACGCCAGCACCAGGACUUUGCUGGAGAAGAGCACAGAUCCCCAGCCCAGUCUGGGACACAGAACCCUGUGAAAUGGCAGAAGGAUUGUGGUGUGAAUGCAGCGCCCUCAGAGCCCUUGGUGUGAGCCCGGAAAGGAAAAUCAAGGGAAAUGGUUAAAGCCUUGUUGUUCAAUGUGGAGCACAGGAGAACUUUGUUCUCAUUGUCUCCCCGAUAAGGAGGAGGACUCAGAUCUUCUGGUUGGCCCCACGGGCAGGUUGAGUGGGGGAACAGAAAAUCAAGAUGCAGAAACCAAUCUUGCAGGGGAACUGGCAUGUGAAGAGGCAGAUUUAGCAUGUCCAGAAGGAAAGGGAGAGAGAAUGUGUCAGAGAGAGAGCAGAGAGCUUCAGUGCAGCUGCAGGAAGAACUAGAGCUGAACAAGGAGGGGUGGGAGUGGCCCCCCUGUGUGAUAGAACCCAGACUAAAUGGCAAAAGCCUUCAAAAUGAUGAUUCAAACCCAGGAUCUGGGCUAGAAGGAUCCUAUGUUAGAAGUGUUGUUUGGUAGUAGGGAGAAAGCAAUGGUUGUUAAAACUAGUCAGAGGUUUUUGGAAGAGCAGAUUUUGGUGGGGAAUAUACAGAGUACAUUGGACAUUCCCUUUCCCACUGCAGAUCCUGAAUGGGAUCCUAACAUCCCUAUUUUUAGAGAAAGGUUCAAUAGAUACCUGCAGUGGAUGUUAUCUGGAAUGAAACAUGCCAGGCCAAAGGCAAUGAACACAUCAAAAUUCUUUGCAAUGAAGCAGGAUCACAGGGAAUAGCCUACUGAAUUUUUAAAUCAUCUGGAAGAAACAGCACAAAAAUAUACUUAUAUCCAUCCUGAAACACGGGGGGAAGGACUCAACUGGCCCCCAUAUUUGUGGGGCAGUCCUCAGAUGUGGUUAGGAGGGAAUGACAAAAAGCUGAGGGACAAGAUCAAUCUAAUUUAGGGACAUUGUUGGAGGUUGGGAGAAUCAGCAGGAAUCAACUCAGCAGGAAGGAGUUGCAGUUCUGGAAGAAAUCCCCGAGGAAAUGGUGCCCCCAGGGAGAGGAAGAGGAUAAGAGCAUGGGCAGCCUGCUUCAAACAUCCCCCCCAGGAGACUUGGUAUCAAUCCCUGUGCAUCCUGUAAGAAAGCUGGACACUGGAAAUGGGAUUGUCCACAACUGAAACUUCAGAACCCUCCCAACCCUCUCCUGGCAUCACUGAAGACGACUGAGGGGGCACCAGAGGAUUCUUCCCCAUCAGAACAUCUGGUUCCAGCCAAGCUAAGGACAAUUGGUUGUGGCUGUGGGAACUUGUUCCCCUGUGUUAAAUAAGGGAAAAUGAAACUCAAGUCACAAUUCUGGAACAAUUGUCUGGUGUGCCAGGGAAUUGGCAAACUGGGCCAUUUUUAAUGCUGUGGAUUUGAAAUUGGGAAAACAGUGGUUGGCUCCCCAGUGUUUGUAUUUCCCCAAUUCCCCAAAGCCUCUGCCUGGGAGAGAUCUCUUGGAAAAAUUAAAUGCCACAAUCCAAUUGAAAAAUGGUAAAAUGUAGGUUAUUAUUGCAGAGCCUAAUUCUGUGGAAGAUUCUAGUUUUGCAUGAGAGUCUCCAAAAGCAGAACUAAUCCAUCUGCCAACGUCACUUGGGGAUGCAGUGAUUCCAAUAGGAUGGGCUGGAGAGGUGCCCCCAUGAUCCAAAAGAGCAGAACUGUGAGAAUUCCAGUGAAACCUGGAGCAGGGUUGGUCAGGCCAAAGCAAUAGCCUUUGAAAAUGGAAAGUUGUGAGGGAUUCUCACUCUCUGUAGAAAAAUUGAUGAAAUUUUGCUUGUUAAAAGAAUGUGAAUCUAAAUGGAAUGCUCCAAUUUUGCCAGUCAAGCAGGCAAAUGGAAGGCUAUCCCAGUUAGUCCAAGACCUCAGAGCUAUAAAUAAUAGAGUAGAAGAUAUACAAGCAGUUGUAGCAAAUCCUUACACUUUGCUAACUCCCCUAAAUGAAAGUUUAAUGUUUCACAGUAUUAGAUUUGAAAGCUGCCUUUUUCUGUCUCCCUUUGAGUUGUGAAAGUCAAGAGCUUUUUGCUUUCAAAUGGGAAAAUCCAAAGACAGGGAGGAAAACCCAGCUGACUUUGGUGGUCCUCCUGCAGGUGAUGCCAGCUCAGCUGAUGCUAAGGAAAAACCUCAGGAGCAGUUAAUUGAGUGUGAGAUAAGGAAAGGGUUUGAUUUGUGCCAAGGCACAGAUGUUACAGGAUGCAUGCCCGCUGUGCCUGAGAUGUUACAUUUUAUAAUACUACCUGUCCAACCCCAAGUGUUUCCAGCCCGUAGCCUUUGCUCUGGUCUGCCCCGGGCCCACUCCCUGGGAAUUGAGUCUGGGGUGCAUUUCGGGACCCUCUCUUCAUCACCAUCACCAUCCUCAGAGCACAAAGGGUACACGGUCACCCAGUUCUUGACUCUGUUCUGUUGUUCAGGCCAAGAUAGGAGUGUUCUCUAAACAGCAUAGGCCUUGCCUUGACAAGAGACUAAACAUUUCUACUGAAUUCAGGGGUAGGAUUGAUAUGGGGAGCAUGGAAUGGGGUAGGAGGGUUUAGGAAUGUGUAAACUAAAGGGUGCUAAAGGGUGAGGAAUACAAUAUAGCUACUUCUAAAAUUACUUCUACUAUAAUUACAUAUAAAGCUUAUAAAAAUUAACAAAGUCAAAAAAAAAACUAAAUAGGGCUUAAGGCAUCACAGGGGUUUAAAAAUAUCCCCCCAAUAUUUGGAACUCAAUUGGCAAAGGAUCUGGAGGAAUGGAAAAGUCAAAACCCUCUUGGAGCCUUGUUCCAGUGUGUGGAUAUUUUGAUAGCCACUGAUGCUGAGCAGCAAUGUUGGGAUCAGACACUAUGGAAUUUCCUUGGACUGGGUGGAUAUGGGGUGUCCCAAACACAAAGUGCAAGUAGUCCAGACCCCAGGAGCCUCCCUGGGCUUUGGAAUUCUCCAAGGACAAUGGAGGCUGGGCCAGGAACAAAAGAAGCAACCUGUCAACUGCCCCAGCACCAGCAAAGGAAGCCCAGAGCGGGAUUGCUUCCAGACUAGAGGAGAAGUGUAUUGGGGCAGAGCUGACUUAGGAGACAGCCCCUGGGAAAGUCCUGGUUGGGAAUUGUUUCCCAGUGGGGGCAGCUUUGUCCAGCGUGGAAAACAAUUCUCUGGAUGCACAGGAACUCCCCCCAGCAGGUCAUGGAAUUGGGGGCACUCCUCUGCAGUGCCUCAGCCCAGAAAGCAGAACCAACUGUGCUCACUCCAGCUUUGGAAUUGAGUCAAGGAGAACAAGUUAAUCCUUGGACUUGCUUGAAGAUCUCCAGAAACCAACAGAGGUUGCUGUCCUGCACUGCAGAGUGCACCAAGAGGGGGAGACCAAAGCAGAACUGGGGAAUCAUUUGGCCCAUAAUUCUGCCAAAGAGGCUGCAGAAAAAGGCACUUUAGAGAGUAAAGUUUUGUCUUUAAUAACCCUGACAGAGAUACCUCUCCCAGUAGAAAAAAAUUAGUCUAGUGCUAAGGAUUGUCAGCUCAUUGAAACCUUAGAGCAAAAUUUGCUCCAGGAGGCUGGGCAGUUACCCCAGGUGGGCAAAUAAUAGUCCCUGAACCAGUCUGGUGUGACCUGGUGGAUGGGGAACAUGAGGGUAUUCCUUGGAGUGAAGCAAAUCAUUGAAACAUUUGCACAAGUAGGUUAUAAGUCCAAAACUGCCCCCAGUUGUACAAGCAGUGAAUCAGCAGUGUGGUGUGUGAGAGAAAUGAUCCAACCCCUGCCAAUGCAGUGGGAACAGGUGAUGUAAAGUGUAGAAAUGUUCCAGGUGAAUGUUGGCAGAUGGAUUUGACUGAAUUGCCCAGAAAAGGGGGGUGUAAAGAUCUCCUAGUCUUGGGGGAUACCUUCUCUGGGUGGCCAGAGGUUUUCCUUGUUGCACUAAGAAAGUUUGGAAAGAGACUGCAAUCCUGUUCAAUGCAAUCCUCCCUGUAUUUGGGAUGCCUUUGGGAAUGUCAUCAGAGGUUACCACUUGACUGUAGAAACAAAAUGCUUCACUCUUGUUUUGCUCUUCUGAACACAGUUCAAACACUGUUGACAUGGGAGGAAAAUUUACAUCUCUUUUUAGUGCCAAAGGUGAUCCAAGUGUUGUCUAAAAGUGUCUGUAUUAAGUAAGCAAGACUCUGUAAUGAAUCUGUAAACUGUGUGUGUAAUGUAAAGCCCUGUCUGGCUGUCCCUGAAGUGCUGAGGCUGAACAACAGCCCCUGAGCCAAAGCUGAGCUCCAGAUGAACCUCCCAACCUAAUGGGCUGUGUCUCCAUGUAUCUGCUCAUCAGCUAAAACUGGGUCUAUUUGUUGGUACAAAUGUGCUGUGAUGGGACUCCACCUGUGUAUCUGCUCCUGAACAGACAGGUGUGCUUAUUAGUCAGAUCUGUUAGUCUGGGCUCAUUAGUGAAUCCUGUUUGUACCUGUUCAUUAACGAAAUAUGUCUGAUUGUGAGCAAAA